AUAUUUUUACCUAUCAUGUCUGUUUGUUUUGUUCACAAAGUAGGUUCGAAAAGGCCCUAAAAUUGCCCCUUUUUUGCUUAAAUUUCAAAUUAGUUUUUAUUGACCAAUAUCACGAUGAAUCAAAACUAAUACAGUGACUAGAUAGAGGAAAAGCCUUUUCUUGAAAAUUUACGUACCUACGUUUAUUUCCUGAUGUCUAUAAUAGUACUCAUUUUGGUUUCCACGAAAAAAUCAAUGAAAAUGGGCAACUUUACAUUGAUUAUUGAACAAUGUCAAAUUUUGCCAAAAUCUCUUAUCUUGACUUAUUUGGUAUGUAAAAAUCAACGCUUUAGAAUAAAACUUUGACACAGAUAGAUCUAUUUAACUUUCGCACAUGUUUUUAAAUCAACUUAAAAUAAUUUUAUCUUGUAACAAUAAACUUUAUAAUCGGGG
rnacentral:lncRNA from 1 species